rnacentral:rRNA from 1 species
AAACUUAAGAGUUUGAUCCUGGCUCAGAAUGAACGCUGGCGGCAGGCCUAAUACAUGCAAGUCGAACGCCCCUUCGGGGGAGUGGCAGACGGGUGAGUAACGCGUGGGAACCUACCCAGGGGUUCGGAAUAACUCAGGGAAACUUGAGCUAAUACCGGAUACGCCUUGCGAGGGAAAGAUUUAUCGCCCCUGGAUGGGCCCGCGUCGGAUUAGUUUGUUGGUAGGGUAAAAGCCUACCAAGGCUACGAUCCGUAGCUGGUCUGAGAGGAUGAUCAGC